rnacentral:rRNA from 1 species
GGUGAAAAGCACCCCGGAAGGGGAGUGAAAUAGAACCUGAAACCGUGUGCUUACAAGUAGUCAGAGCCCGUUAAUGGGUGAUGGCGUGCCUUUUGUAGAAUGAACCGGCGAGUUACGAUUUGAUGCAAGGUUAAGCAGUAAAUGUGGAGCCGUAGCGAAAGCGAGUCUGAAUAGGGCGUUUAGUAUUUGGUCGUAGACCCGAAACCAGGUGAUCUACCCUUGGUCAGGUUGAAGUUCAGGUAACACUGAAUGGAGGACCGAACCGACUUACGUUGAAAAGUGAGCGGAUGAACUGAGGGUAGCGGAGAAAUUCCAAUCGAACCUGGAGAUAGCUGGUUCUCUCCGAAAUAGCUUUAGGGCUAGCCUCAAGUGAUGAUUAUUGGAGGUAGAGCACUGUUUGGACGAGGGGCCCCUCUCGGGUUACCGAAUUCAGACAAACUCCGAAUGCCAAUUAAUUUAACUUGGGAGUCAGAACAUGGGUGAUAAGGUCCGUGUUCGAAAGGGAAACAGCCCAGACCACCAGCUAAGGUCCCAAAAUAUAUGUUAAGUGGAAAAGGAUGUGGCGUUGCCCAGACAACUAGGAUGUUGGCUUAGAAGCAGCCAUCAUUUAAAGAGUGCGUAAUAGCUCACUAGUCGAGUGACACUGCGCCGAAAAUGUACCGGGGCUAAACAUAUUACCGAAGCUGUGGAUUGUCCUUUGGACAAUGGUAGGAGAGCGUUCUAAGGGCGUUGAAGCAUGAUCGUAAGGACAUGUGGAGCGCUUAGAAGUGAGAAUGCCGGUGUGA